rnacentral:lncRNA from 1 species
CGGCUUUCAAAUACAUAUCAUGGAACAAACGCUGGAAAAGUUGGGGUGGGAUUGAAGGACACACGGGGUGGGAUUUUUCCUGCACAGACCUUGGCCUCGCCUGGGUUGGUAAGAAGUGGACAGACACACGACCCACAGUGCAGGCUAGGCACCGGCCAAGCAAGUGCUGUGGGCCAAGCUGCUCAGACUUCAGUCUGCAGAGGAGCUGCCGGCGCCCUUGCUAACAGGCAGGUUCCGGUCUGUGGAUCUGAGGAGGGGCCCGAGGUGGUGCUCACUGGCCAAUGUGGAAACACUGUGAGUGACGAGACGCAGGGAACCCUGGGAGUCAAGGGAGGCGAAGAGCAGAGACGCGGUCCGGAGCAGAGCCGCACAGGUGUGGAGGUGAUUGUGGGCAGCCUGGAGGCGCGAAGGCCAGGGCCUCACCUUGUUCACCACGCUGCUUGGUGACUUGGGGAAGCGGGCCCCCUCUCCAGGGAGGGCUGUCGAGGCGUAUCCGUGUAUUGGCUGGAAAGAGCUAAUACCAGCUAACCCAUGUGCCAGGCAACACCAGCAACUGGCAGAAGUCAGCAGCAAUCCGAUCCCACGUGACCGCUCCCUGAAGGCCCAGCCACGUGCAGGGGCCGCUAAUCCGAGUAAAGAUGAUAAAGAUCUCGCGUGCUGGGCAUUGUCAGAGGCCACCUGGAGCGCACCGCACUGCACCUCCUGCGUCUCACUGCCUCUACUCUCUUCCGGGCUGCCUUGGAGCCAGGGAGAUGGAAUGUCUCAUUCCACUGACAUGGAACUUUGUCUAGCCAAAUGCAAUCAACAGGCCCUGAAAAUGCCCAGUGGGCUGGUGAGCGUCUACAACAUCUACAACAGGCAAAAGGAAAUUUCACGACGACUCGAGCCCCUGCAUUCAACAGGGGGAAAUGCAUUCAAUCCAGCAGGGAGAACCCAAGGUGAAGACAGUUCCCAGAAGCAGAAGCAACGCAGCCCCGGCACCAAGGUGUGAGCCCAGCUGUGGCCGAGGGUUCCUCUCACCUGGUGUGUGCCUCGUGCAAGGGAACCUGCAGAGACGCUGCCCUAAGACCUGCCAAAUGGGGACCUGGAGAUACAUGUGGGAGGCAGCCUUCAAAAGGGAAACCAACCGCACACCCACCAGCAGGGAACAGCUCAGUUGACUUACGUAGAACUGAGGGAAUGGCACUCGCUGCACCCCAGAAAACGAGUGGAAGAUGAAAGGAUUCCAUGGAAAAUGUCGACGAUACAUUUGAAGUAAAAAGGCACCUAUAUUCAUAGCAUGAUCUCAUUUUUAAUCAGAAAUAUAUUUGGAGAGAGGACAGAGAUUAAACAUAGCAGACAGAAAGUGGGAAGGGCUUAUUCCAACUACUGACAGUACUUGACUCUGGAAAGUUAAACGGAGAAUGACAGGAAGUUUAAAUGGGAUAUUUGUACAAAUAUUUCAGGGUUUCCAACCUCGGCACUUUUAGCAGUUUAGGCUGUAUGUUUGUGGCGGGCACCGUCGUGCUGAGAAACAGAGAUGGGAUUUGUGAUAAUUUAGAAAUAAAACAUAAUGCAAGGUGGUCAAUUAUAAUGGUGAGAAACAAAAAACUGCUUGGGAGCACAAAGGCGGAUGUUGAAUCCACCAACGUUCCUUUUUUCCUCUUUAGUGUUGAAUCUGGCUCCAUCUGUGCUAGAUCAGGAGCUCCCUUCACCUUGCUUACUCCCGUACUCAUGCUACACACGCAGUGGAAGCUCAGUGAGACGUCUAC